CUACAAGAUGACUGGACCACAUGGUUACCUAUGGCCGAAUUUUCUUACAAUAAUACCAUUCAUUCCAGUACGAAAAUGACUCCUUUCUUCUCCAACUAUGGUUUUCAUCCGUCUUCAUUCCCCAUCCAAACCAUUACUUCAUCCAAUCCUACUGUUACAUCAAAAAACGAAUUUAUGUCUUCUCUAUUUCUCAAAUUACGGGAGAAUCUUCAACUCGCCCAAAAUAACCAGAAAAAGUUUUUUGACAAUAAUAGAAGAAUUCCCCCUCCUUACAAGGUAGGGGAUCUUGUCUGGCUCUCUUCAAGGAAUAUUACCACAAGCCGUCCUUCAAAGAAAUUGAGCUCUCUUUUUCUUGGUCCCUUUCAAGUAAUUACUAUCAUUAAUGAUAACGUUGUUAAACUGAAACUUCCUCCAAGUUUUAAACUUCAUCCGGUAUUCCAUGUCUCCUUACUUAAACCACACAUCCCUGAUCCUUUUUAUAGAGAAAUAGUAACAACUCCUGAACCUAUCAUUGUCCAAGGUGAAGAAGAAUAUGAAAUUCACAAAAUUUUGGAUUCUCGUGUCCACCGUGGCUCUUUACAAUACCUUAUCAGAUGGAAAGGUUAUGGAGUUGAUGAAGACACUUGGGAAGAUUCAUCUAAUGUACAUGCUAGGAGGUUAGUUACUGCCUUUCACAAACGCUACCCCUCCAAACCGAAAUAGUGCACCCUGAGGAUGCCCCAUGAGAAGGGGGUACUGUCAGGUAUAGCAUGGCAUGUAAUUCAUCGCCGGAACCCACUUCCGGGUUCACGGCGCUCAGCCCCGCCCCUUUUUCUGACGCGGUCCCUCCACGAUACUUAGGAGGACCGCGCCAGAUUCAAAGGGCUGGAUUAUUCGCACAGGUGCUGCA